rnacentral:rRNA from 1 species
GGGGCAACUCUGAUGCAGCAACGCCGCGUGGAGGAUGACGCAUUUCGGUGUGUAAACUCCUUUUAUGUGGGAGAAUAAUGACGGUACCAUAUGAAUAAGCACCGGCUAACUCCGUGCCAGCAGCCGCGGUAAUACGGAGGGUGCAAGCGUUACUCGGAAUCACUGGGCGUAAAGGACGCGUAAGCUGUCUUUUAAGUUGGAUGUGAAAUCCUAUGGCUCAACCAUAGAACUGCAUCCAAAACUAUUAGACUAGAGUCUGGGAGGGGAAGAUGGAAUUAAUGGUGUAUGGGUAAAAUCCGUAGAGAUGUGUAGCAAUACCAAGCGCGAAGAUGAUCUGCUGCACCAAUACUGACGCUGAGGUGUGAUAGCGUGGGGAGCAAACAGGCUUAAAUACCCUGGUAGUCUA